CCUACGGGAGGCAGCAGUGGGGAAUAUUGCACAAUGGGGGGAACCCUGAUGUAGCGACGCCGCGUGGGUGAAGAAGCGCCUCGGCGCGUAAAGCCCUGUCAGCAGGGAAGAAAAUGACGGUACCUGAAGAAGAAGCCCCGGCUAACUACGCGCCAGCAGCCGCGGUAAUACGUAGGGGGCAAGCGUUAUCCGGAUUUACUGGGUGUAAAGGGGGCGCAGACGGCGAUGCAAGCCAGGAGUGAAAGCCCGGGGCCCAACCCCGGGACUGCUCUUGGAACUGCGUGGCUGGAGUGCAGGAGGGGCAGGCGGAAUUCCUGGUGUAGCGGUGGAAUGCGUAGAUAUCAGGAGGAACACCGGUGGCGAAGGCGGCCUGCUGGACUGCAACUGACGUUGAGGCUCGAAAGCGUGGGGAGCAAACAGGAUUAGAUACCCGAGUAGUC
rnacentral:rRNA from 1 species